rnacentral:rRNA from 1 species
AACAAGGAUUCCCCUAGUAACUGCGAGUGAAGCGGGAAAAGCUCAAAUUUAAAAUCUGGCGGUCUUUGGCCGUCCGAGUUGUAAUCUAGAGAAGUAAUGCCCGUGCUGGACCGUGUAUAAGUCUCCUGGGAUGGGGCGUCAUAGAGGGUGAGAAUCCCGUCUUUGACACGGACUACCAGUGCAUUGUGGUAUGCUCUCAAAGAGUCGAGUUGUUUGGGAAUGCAGCUCAAAAUGGGUGGUAAAUUCCAUCUAAAGCUAAAUAUUGGCGAGAGACCGAUAGCGAACAAGUACCGUGAGGGAAAGAUGAAAAGAACUUUGGAAAGAGAGUUAAACAGUACGUGAAAUUGCUGAAAGGGAAACGCUUGAAGUCAGUCGCGUUGGCCGGGAAUCAGCCUUGCUUUUGCAUGGUGUACUUUCUGGUCGACGGGUCAGCAUCAAUUUUGAUCACUGGAAAAGGCUCAAGGGAAUGUGGCAGCUUCGGCUGUGUUAUAGCCCCUGUUCACAUACAGUGGUUGGGAUUGAGGAACUCAGCAC